AGUGAACGCUGGCGGUAGGCCUAACACAUGCAAGUCGAACGGCAGCACAGUAAGAGCUUGCUCUUACGGGUGGCGAGUGGCGGACGGGUGAGGAAUACAUCGGAAUCUACUUUUUCGUGGGGGAUAACGUAGGGAAACUUACGCUAAUACCGCAUACGACCUACGGGUGAAAGCAGGGGAUCUUCGGACCUUGCGCGAUUGAAUGAGCCGAUGUCGGAUUAGCUAGUUGGCGGGGUAAAGGCCCACCAAGGCGACGAUCCGUAGCUGGUCUGAGAGGAUGAUCGGCCACACUGGAGCUGAGACACGGUCCAGACUCCUACGGGAGGCAGCAGUGGGGAAUAUUGGACAAUGGGCGCAAGCCUGAUCCAGCCAUCCCGCGUGGGUGAAGAAGGCCUUCGGGUUGUAAAGCCCUUUUGUGGGGAAAGAAAAGCAGCAGGUUAAUACCCCGCUGUUCUGACGGUACCCAAAGAAUAAGCACCGGCUAACUUCGUG
rnacentral:rRNA from 1 species